rnacentral:rRNA from 1 species
GACGACCGCGGCGGCGUGCUUAAUACAUGCAAGUAGACCGCUGAAGGAGGAGCUUGCUUUCUGGAUGAGUUGCGAACGGGUGAGUAACGCGUAGGUAACCUCCUGGUAGCGGGGGAUAACUAUUGGAAACGAUAGCUAAUACCGCAUAAGAGUAGAUGUUGCAUGACAUUUGCUUAAAAGGUGCAAUUGCAUCACUACCAGAUGGACCUGCGUUGUAUUAGCUAGUUGGUGAGGUAACGGCUCACCAAGGCAACGAUACAUAGCCGACCUGAGAGGGUGAUCGGCCACACUGGGACUGAGACACGGCCCAGACUCCUACGGGAGGCAGCAGUAGGGAAUCUUCGGCAAUGGACGGAAGUCUGACCGAGCAACGCCGCGUGAGUGAAGAAGGUUUUCGGAUCGUAAAGCUCUGUUGUAAGAGAAGAACGAGUGUGAGAGUGGAAAGUUCAC